AUCAACAUAUCACCGACUUGUUUUGUGGACAGCUGGGUUACUCCGACUCAGUCGAAUUUGGCCGUAGGAGAUGUCUUCACUAACCUCCGUCGAAUUGAAUUUUCUGAUAUUCCGAUAUCUUCAGGAAUCAGGGUUGACACACGCUGCAUUCACACUAGGUUACGAGGCAGGGAUUAAUAAAUGCAAAAUCUAUGGGAAUAUGGUUCCACCUGGUGCUCUUGUCAAGUUUGUUCAGAAAGGUCUCCACUACAUUGAGAUGGAAGCUAAUUUGAGCAGUGUAAUAGUUACUCUUUUUUCUUUAUCUCUUGUGGUUCCUUUACAGUCUUAGACUGAGCUAUGUUUUCACUAGAAGAAAACAGACGGAUACUGACGGACAAAAUCGUCACAAGUUCAUCGGAAUAGAGACAAUUUGACGAA